rnacentral:rRNA from 1 species
UUCCAGACUCCUACGGGAGGCAGCAGUGGGGAAUAUUGCACAAUGGGGGGAACCCUGAUGCAGCGACGCCGCGUGGGUGAAGAAGCGCCUCGGCGCGUAAAGCCCUGUCAGCAGGGAAGAAAAUGACGGUACCUGAAGAAGAAGCCCCGGCUAACUACGUGCCAGCAGCCGCGGUAAUACGUAGGGGGCAAGCGUUAUCCGGAUUUACUGGGUGUAAAGGGGGCGCAGACGGCGAUGCAAGCCAGGAGUGAAAGCCCGGGGCCCAACCCCGGGACUGCUCUUGGAACUGCGUGGCUGGAGUGCAGGAGGGGCAGGCGGAAUUCCUGGUGUAGCGGUGAAAUGCGUAGAUAUCAGGAGGAACACCGGUGGCGAAGGCGGCCUGCUGGACUGCAACUGACGUUGAGGCCCGAAAGCGUGGGGAGCAAACAGGAUUAGAUACCCCUGUAC